AGAGUUUGAUCAUGGCUCAGGAUGAACGCUAGCUACAGGCUUAACACAUGCAAGUCGAGGGGCAGCAUGGUCUUAGCUUGCUAAGGCCGAUGGCGACCGGCGCACGGGUGAGUAACGCGUAUCCAACCUGCCUUACACUCUUGGACAGCCUUCUGAAAGGGAGAUUAAUACAAGAUGUUAUCAUGAGUAAGCAUUUUCACAUGAUUAAAGGUUUACCGGUGUAAGAUGGGGAUGCGUUCCAUUAGAUAGUAGGCGGGGUAACGGCCCACCUAGUCUUCGAUGGAUAGGGGUUCUGAGAGGAAGGUCCCCCACAUUGGAACUGAGACACGGUCCAAACUCCUACGGGAGGCAGCAGUGAGGAAUAUUCCCCCCCGGACGAGAGUCUGAACCAGCCAAGUAGCGUGAAGGAUGAAGGUUCUAUGGAUUGUAAACUUCUUUUAUACGGGAAUAAACGAAUCCACGUGUGGAUUUUUGCAUGUACCGUAUGAA
rnacentral:rRNA from 1 species